ACUUGGUGAUGUGGGCAUUUACGGAGAAGGUCCCUGAAGCACUCCCGAGUCUAAAAUAAGAGUUCCCCAUCCGUCUGUGAGAAACUUGUGAUAGCUCUCCAAAGCU